rnacentral:lncRNA from 1 species
GGACGGGAUAUAACCUUAUAAGGGGGAUAAUGAAACUUAGGCAACGUCUUGGAAGAUUGUAACCCCAUAGUACUCAACCAAUGCAGAACUGGUGGAGGGACUUCUGUGCUAGGAGAUAAAUUACCUGUUGUGACUUCCCUGGAUGUACCUGCUUAGACACCCGACCUUGCAAGAUCGUUAUUAAAGUCUCACUUUCGCUGUUCUUCGUGCCUCUAAGUCCAUUCUUCGGGUUUGGAUGGAAUCCCCUUCCUUGUAUGGCUCUGAGUAAGAUUUGGCCAAGAGGAAUUUGCACAAGAUUUUAGAAGGCAGGAAC